UAGGCUCCGGUGAGCAGGGAUCAGUUUGCAAGGCCAGGGACUAUGGCAUGUGUGUCUGCAAGCCACUACAGAGGACUGAUGAUGGAGCACAAGAAGUGCUAAGACUUUUUCGCGUCGUUAUGACUACGGGCCAGGCAACCAAGACGGCAGGACCGCGUCACAGGCUGUGCGCCGGGACGCCAGACAGGAAGUCGGAGCAACGUGGUCAGCGGCGUUUGGAACGGGACAGCGCGAGAAUUGGGGACAUUAUUGAAUGCACAGUUAAAAUUCCAGAUAAAAGAGGAUUGUGGAAUGUAUAGAAAUACAGACUCACGCUACUAAGAAG